rnacentral:rRNA from 1 species
UACAGAGGGUGCGAGCGUUAAUCGGAUUUACUGGGCGUAAAGCGUGCGUAGGCGGCUGAUUAAGUCGGAUGUGAAAUCCCUGAGUUUAACUUAGGAAUUGCAUUCGAUACUGGUCAGCUAGAGUAUGGGAGAGGAUGGUAGAAUUCCAGGUGUAGCGGUGAAAUGCGUAGAGAUCUGGAGGAAUACCGAUGGCGAAGGCAGCCAUCUGGCCUAUUACUGACGCUGAGGUACGAAAGCAUGGGGAGCAAACAGG